CGCACACACACACACACACACACACACACACACACACAGUGAAAGAGACAGACUCCUAGACCGCCGCUAGAGGGAGGGCCGCGAGGCGGUUGUGCAAAAUGGAAUGAAUACAGAUCCUGCUCUCUGGCGGAAUUUGCGUUUAUGUCACUUUAAAAAUACUAUUUUUAUUUGACAAAUCAUAAGUGUUAUAUAGUUAAGGGAUACAUUCUGAUGUUUUGAUAUUUGUAUACAGUGUGAAAUUAUUAAACUGAUGUCCCUUUUGAAAGGUUUCAAGUGACUAAACAAGGAGACCCUACCCUUGGUUAGGCUAGAACUAAACAAGGAAAAACAUAUAGCCGCAACUGCCUUUCACAACCACAGGUUUUUUUGGUCUUGAGAUUCUCCAUUCUGUUACCCCUUCUCUCCUUUGUACACAGCAAGUCUCAAGGUGCCUGGCACAGAACCUGAGCUCCUCGUAACUCAGACAAUAUUUUAUGUGUACAUAUAACAUACACAUAAUAUACAGACGUAUAUCCUCAAAGGAAUUGUAGGAAAGGACCACAGUAAUGUGAAUUGUUUUUUCUUCCAGCUGUGUUUGAUUUUGUAGCUUUAAUAGCUGAUAUACCAUGCAAAAAAGGUAAAAAUAAGUUGGAAACGUAAUUGAUCACUUUACACAGGAAAAAAAAAAAAAAAAAACAACACUGUCCAUUAUAUUUCUGAGUUUUUGAAUUUAAUUAUUCACUGCCAAUCUGGAAAUGGUUGCAGAAUCCUCAGAAAAUUCCACUUGUAGAAAGGUAUUACUCUAAGAAAUACAACUUCUUUGUGCAAAGGCUCUUAAAGUUACUAAUGGGCGUCUAAGUAUGCAAAUUGCCUUAGAAUACAGGGUAAUGGUCAUUGAAGACGUUCAAAUACUUUUAUCCAUUGUGACUCUGAACUAGGAAGUAGACAGUGGGGCUUAAGAAAAGAUUAUUAUCUUGAUUGGAAUUUCAAGACGGGAAAAGUCUAAUCCCUUUCUUGUAAAAGACAUCUGGGUGGAUUUCAACUAACUUUGAGAAACGAAUCAGAAUAAUGACUCAAACCUGAGCUAAAGAGAAAAGUGUUUUUGUUUUAAAUAAAAACCAGGUGUUGCUCUCCUUAGUAACCCAAUAUUGGGUGCGCGCGCGCAGAGUGGCCAGACCCCUCUCCACGCAGCUGUGGCUCUGUUCAAUUCGGCAAGUGUACUCACGGCAGAACUGCAACGGGUAUAAAACGUCUUGACGAUGGGCUCCAGGGUUUGACACUCCGCAGCGCCACCAGCUCUGUUUUCUUCCCAAGUGAGCCACUCUCUACCUCGCGAGCAGGAGAUCGUCCUAUGUGCGCUACAAUCGUGGGGCGGGGAGAUCUGGCGCUCACCCAACGAGCUCGGCUGGUGCUGACGUCCGUUCAGGCCUUUAAAUGUCUCUGUCCCUGCGCAGGAGGAAACAGACUUUGUAGCAGUCACUUUGCCCGAAGGGAGACGCGUCUCUGCUUUUGCAGGCGGCAGUUCGGACUCCCCUCGCUCUUCCUAGCGCUGUGUUUUCCUCUGUCUUUGCCUCGAGUUCCCCGCAGCCUCUCCAGCUGGAGGCGGUUUUGGUAUUCGCACCUCGGGCGUGAACCAACAGGACUUCCCUUGCCCUGUGCUGUUUCAGUGGGUUCGAAGAUCAGAGAUUGAGAGGUGCGCUCGGUGAUCACUCAAGGAGCAGGGAGCUUGCUCCCCCUGAUAUUGGUAGGGGGUGAUUUUUUUUUCCCCGAGCUGGUGAAAGCAUCCUCCCGCUCCUAAAGCUGCAACUUGUUUUGGUUUCUUCUCAGUCCUGUGUAUGGUUACAACAUCAAAGUUUUUCUCCCUUACCCCUCCAAAAAUCUAUCAUUUUAAUCCACCCUCCUCCCCCCACGCCGUCUCCGCCAAGCCUUCUCGCUGUGCGGCGAGCGGAUAGCGGGGCGCUCAGUGUGGCAGCGGCAGCGAAGAUUGGCGCUAUCAGGAGGAGCGAAAGGGAAGGAUCUGCUGCUGGGGGCUUCCUGGGUGAUCCUUUGCCAGGCGAAAGAGCUGGGGAAGGGCGCAGAAGAGGAGCCGGAACCUUCUGGGACCCUGGUGCUUGACACUGGAUUUUGAUCACCAUCCUUGUUCUGUGUCUCUGUCCCCUUUUUCUCAAUUGGUAACUAGUCGAGAGAGAAGCGCUUGGCACGAGCUUUCUGCGGGACCUAAGCUCCCUGGCUGCUCGGGAUCCCUACGUCCGCUGCUGCGGAAGGACCAGAGGGGAGGACGCCAGCCGUUGCUUACUGGAGCCUGGAGGAGAAUGGAAACAUCAAUCCCUAGAAACAGUUGAAGUUGUCAGACCUAGAGAUUGACAGAGGAACACGGCACUGGGGAAUUUGCAUUGUCAUGUUUCAGAAUACCAUCCUAAAGACUGGCAAAUAAGGUAGGAUAUGUUUUAUUUAAUAUUCAAGUAUGUCUUUAAAAUUUCAUAUCAACAGUUUCAAAGCUAAGAGCCGUAUCUAUCUCCAAAGAGAAUCAUAAGUAGAUUGUUGGGUUUUGGAUUCAAGUUAUGACUAUCGUCUAUGUGUUGCAAUUACUUUGUGAUUGUUUUUUCCUUUUAUUGAAAAGCCACUUGCAUAGAGAUGUCCACUAUUUGCUGGUUUACUCAAGUACAGUAUCAAUUGUUUGAAGCAGAAUAAAAAUGUUUGUUUUGCUUAAUUUAUUUGCCAUCCAACAAAGACUUUCUUGCCGACACAUCAUGUGGCAACAAUUGAUCAAUGCAGCAAUUGAUAUACAGAAUGUAACUCAUGUAGAAACAUUUGUCCAAAUCCAACAGCCACAGGAGCAAGGCUAUGGGAAAGUAUGAAGUAAUCAAUAUUUGGAAAAAUGAAAUCUAAAAUCUGAAUUUGGGUUACACUAAGACACCAAAAUAGUCCUUUUAAAAAUAUGUGUAUUGCUCUUUAUUCUCAAUAUAUAAGUGCUUAUUGGAGUCAUAAAAAAGUACCUAAUAUUGAUUUGAAUUGAGGUAUUACCUGAGAUUUUAAUACUAGAAACACUGUUUCACUUUUUUUUUACUUUGCAUAUUAUAAGGAGAAAAUACUGCAUUUAACAACAAAAGCAUUUGGAUAUGCCAGUUUACUUAUUUGUGACUGUUUUCUCUUUGAAGAGACUCGUGUUACCAAUAUUGUUCUGCCUGAGUGUUGACUAAAAGGAAGGAAGGAAGAAAGGGCAGAAAUAUUAAAAUCUGGAAAGUAAAUGUCAAUCUUCAAGGCCCUGGCUUUUAGAAAAUCUUAAUGACAAGAAACAUUUUUUUUAAAAAAGUCUUAUUGGCAUGGCUUGGCAUUCACAUUAUAAGUAAAAAUCCAGUUCAUGGAGCUAAGCAUUUUUUUUUUUUUUUUGGGUAGGAAAUUAGUUGCACCUUAAUCUUGGUAAUAAAUUAAGGAAGAAGCAUUGUAGUUCAUUAUGUUAGUCAUGUUUUUAUUCUUACAUUCUCACCAGAACUUUCAGAAAAGUCAACAGCUGGGUAGAAGAAUUUGGAAUCUUUUCACACUAGCAUGUCUCAGCUGUUUCUCCUCUAGUUUUUGAAGGAGGCAAAAUUAGAUGUGAAUGCUUUAUGAUUAUACUUUUAAUGCAUGUUUCUAAUUGAAUAUAGUAAAAUAAAAUGGAA